GAUGAACGCUAGCUACAGGCUUAACACAUGCAAGUCGAGGGGCAGCAUGGUCUUAGCUUGCUAAGGCCGAUGGCGACCGGCGCACGGGUGAGUAACACGUAUCCAACCUGCCGUCUACUCUUGGACAGCCUUCUGAAAGGAAGAUUAAUACAAGAUGGCAUCAUGAGUCCGCAUGUUCACAUGAUUAAAGGUAUUCCGGUAGACGAUGGGGAUGCGUUCCAUUAGAUAGUAGGCGGGGUAACGGCCCACCUAGUCUUCGAUGGAUAGGGGUUCUGAGAGGAAGGUCCCCCACAUUGGAACUGAGACACGGUCCAAACUCCUACGGGAGGCAGCAGUGAGGAAUAUUGGUCAAUGGACGAGAGUCUGAACCAGCCAAGUAGCGUGCAGGAUGACGGCCCUAUGGGUUGUAAACUGCUUUUAUAAGGGAUAAAGUGAGUCUCGUGAGACUUUUUGCAUGUACCUUAUGAAUAAGGACCGGCUAAUUCCGUG
rnacentral:rRNA from 1 species